rnacentral:rRNA from 1 species
UAAUUCCGUGUCAGCAGCCGCGGUAAUACGGAAGGUGCAAGCCUGAUCCGGUUUAAUUAGGUUAAAAGGGUGCGUAGGCGGCUUAUUAAGUCAGUUGUGAAAUCCUAGUGCUUAACGCUAGAACAGCGGUUGAUACUAUUAGGCUUGAGUUAAGAAGAGGUAGGCAGAAUUUAUGGUAUAGUGGUGAAAUGCUUAGAUAUCAUAAGGAAUACCAAUAGCGUAGGAAGCUUACUGGUCUUUAACUGAUCCUGAGGCAUGAAAGCGUGGGGAGCAAACAGGAUUAGAUUCCCUAGUAGUCCACGCCGUAAACGAUGAUCACUCGAUAUUCGUGAUACUUCGCGUGUGUCUAAGCGAAAGCGUUAAGUGAUCCACCUGGGGAGUAUACUCGCAAGGGUGAAACUCAAAGGAAUUGACGGGGGUCCGCACAAGCGGUGGAGUAUGUGGUUUAAUUCGAUAAUACGCGAGGAACCUUACCUGGGCUAGAAUGUAUUUUGCNACNNNNAGAAAUUNNGGGUUCCUUCGGGACNNAAUACAAGGUGCUGCAUGGCUGUCGUCAGCUCGUGCCGUGAGGUGUUGGGUUAAGUCCUAUAACGAGCGAAACCCUUUUACUUAAUUGCCAGCACGUAAUGGUGGGGACUUUAAGUAGACUGCCCGUGUAAGCGGGAGGAAGGAGAGGAUGAGGUCAAGUCAUCAUGGCCUUUAUGCCCAGGGCUACACACGUACUACAAUGGCAUGUACAAAGAGAAGCUACUUGGUAACAAGAUGCAAAUCUCAAAAGCAUGUCUCAGUUCGGAUUGAGGUCUGCAAUUCGACCUCAUGAAGUUGGAAUCGCUAGUAAUCGCGUAUCAGCAAUGACGCGGUGAAUACGUUCUCGGACCUUGUACACACCGCCCAUCAAGCCAUGGGAGUUGGUAGAGCUUGAAGACAGUG